AACAUCCCAAAUGUGGAGAUAACUCAUAAACCCUAUCACUCGUUCUGAGUUACUUUCGCUUUCACAUAUAAAUAGUUGUUUCAUGCUUGUUUCUAGGUACUUUCGUGCUUGAAAUGCUCUUGGGCGCUUUCAUGCUUGGAACGCCCAUGGAUGCGUCCGCACUUGGAAUGACCUUAGGUGCUUUUGCACUGGAACGCCC
rnacentral:lncRNA from 1 species